ensembl:lncRNA
GAACAAGCAAACCGCUGCCUCUCCUCGCUGCGUUGCCAACAAGUAAACCGUUGCAUGUGUUCAGGGCCUGGAGAACUAACUAAGCACUGCGUCUCUUCGCUGCCUCGCAGAAUAACUAAUCACCGUGGAUGUUCGCUGUCUCACAAAGCAGCAGACUGCUGCGUCUGUUCGCUGCCUCGCCAACUAGCAAAGUCCUUCCUCGCUUCGCUUCCACACGAAAAAGCAAACUGCGAUGCUGUUUCGCCACCUGGUGGACAAGCAAACUGCUGCGUCUCUUCGCUGUUUCAGAAGCUACCUAGCCGCAGCGUCUGUUCACCGCCUCACCAACAAGCAAAGUGCUGCGUGUAUUCGCAGCAUCACAAACUAACUAACCACUGCGUCUCUUCCCUGCCUCGCAAACUAAAUAACCGAGACAUCUGUCCGCUGCAUGGCGAACAAGCAGACUGCUGUGUCUGUUUGCUGCCUUGCCAGCUAGCAAAGUGCUCCCUCACUUCGCUUCCACGCCAAAAAGCAAUCCGUGAUGCCACUUCACCACCUGGUGGACAAGCAAACCACUGUGUCUCUUCGCUGCCUUGCAGAAAGAGUGACCACUGUGGAUGUUCGCUGUCUCACAAACAAGGAGACUGCCUAAUCUGUUCGCUGCCUGGCGAACAAGCAGACCGCUGCGUCUCUUCGCUGCCUCGCAAACCAAACACUGCGUCUAUUCACUGCCUCCAAAAAAAGCAGACCACUGCAGGUAUUUGCCAACUCGCAGAAAGAAAACCAAGGCAGCUGUUCCCUGCCUGGCGAACAAACAAACGGUGAUAUCUGUUCGCCGCCUCGCAAACAAGCAAACCAAAGGACCUGUUGGCUGCCUUGUAAAAUAACUAACAAAUGCGUCUGUCCGCUGCCUCGCGAACAAUCACAUCGCUAUAUGUGUUCGCCCCCUGGCAAAAAAGCAAACCACGGUGACUCUUCACUGCCUGGCAAAUAUGAAGAGAGCUGCGUCUCUUCCCUGCCUUGCAAACUAACUAACCGAUACAUCUGUCUGCUGCCUCGCGAACAAGCAGACCGCUGUGCCUCUUCGCUGCCUCACAAAAAAACACAUCACUGCAUCUAUUCGCCCACUCACAAAAAAGCAAAUGACGGUGGCUCUUCCCUACCUCGCAAACAAGCAAACCGCUCUAUCGGUUCGCUGCCUCGCCAACUAACUAACCACUGCGUCUCUUCGCUCCCUCGCAAACUUACUGGCCUCGGCGUCUCUUCGCCGCCCAGCAAAGCACUGAGUUCCUUCGCCGCCUCACUGCCUAACAAAGCGUCCUCUCCCUUCGUCGCCUAGCAAAGCUCCGCGUCUUCUCGCCGAGAAGCAAAGCACCAUGUUCCUUCGGCGCCUAGCAAAGUGCUGCAUCCCUCCCCUCCUCACCACCUGGCAAAGCACUGCGUGCCUUUGCCGCCUCACAGACCACUGCGUACCUUCGCAGCCUCGCCAACUAGCACAGAGCUGUGACCCUUGCCGCCUAGCAAAGCACCGCGUGCCUUUGCCGCCUAGAAAAGCACUGCGUCCCUUCACAGCCUCGACACCUAGCAAAGCGCUGCGUCCCUUUGCCGCCUCGCCACCUACCACACCGCUGUGUCCCUUUUCCCCCUUACCGCCUCUCAAAUCGCUUCAUCCUCUCAUGCCUCGCCACCUAGGAAAGUGCUCCAUCCCUUCGCCACCUGGCAAAGCACAGCCUGCCUUCGUGCAGUGUGAGGGAAAAACGACGCAGUGGUGUGCUAGGUGGUGAGGAGGCGAGGCGGCGAAGGGACGCAGUGCUUUAUUAGUUGU